GACGAACGCUGGCGGCGUGCUUAACACAUGCAAGUCGAACGGAAAGGCCCUGCUUGCAGGGUACUCGAGUGGCGAACGGGUGAGUAACACGUGGGUGAUCUGCCCUGCACUUCGGGAUAAGCUUGGGAAACUGGGUCUAAUACCGGAUAGGAACCAUCUUUAGUGUGGUGGUUGGAAAGUUUUUUCGGUGUAGGAUGAGCUCGCGGCCUAUCAGCUUGUUGGUGGGGUAAUGGCCUACCAAGGCGGCGACGGGUAGCCGGCCUGAGAGGGUGUACGGCCACAUUGGGACUGAGAUACGGCCCAGACUCCUACGGGAGGCAGCAGUGGGGAAUAUUGCACAAUGGGCGCAAGCCUGAUGCAGCGACGCCGCGUGGGGGAUGAAGGCCUUCGGGUUGUAAACGCCUUUCGCUAGGGACGAAGCUUUUUGUGACGGUACCUAGAUAAGAAGCACCGGCUAACUACGUG
rnacentral:rRNA from 1 species